rfam:Oryza sativa (indica cultivar-group) chromosome 1, whole genome shotgun sequence.
AAUAAGUGCAGUUUUGCACUGGUUACGUCCUGACCGUUCGUCUUAUUCGAAAUUUUUCUAUGAUUAGUAUUUUAUUGUUAGUAGAUGAUAAAACAUGAAUAAUACUUUAUGUGUGACUAUUUUUUUAAAUAUUUUUAUAAAUUUUUCAAAUAAAACGGACGGUCAAACGUUAGACACGGAUUCCCAUGGCUGCACUUAUU